rnacentral:rRNA from 1 species
GACGUAGGAUGCAAGCGUUGUUCGGAUUUAUUGGGCGUAAAGCGUACGUAGGCGGUUCGGCAAGUGGGAGGUUAAAGACUGGGGCUCAACCCCAGGAGUGCCCCCCAAACUGCUGAACUAGAGGUUCAUAGGGGAAGGUGGAAUUCCGAGUGUAGCGGUGAAAUGCGUAGAUAUUCGGAGGAACGCCAGUGGCGAAAGCGACCUUCUGGGUGACACCUGACGCUGAGGUACGAAAGCAUGGGGAGCAAACGGG